UACCUUGACGGUACCUAACCAAAAGGCCACGGCUAANUACGUGCCAGCAGCCGCGGUAAUAAGUAGGUGCCAAGCGUUGUCCGGAAUUAUUGGGCGUAAAGGGCUCGCAGGCGGUUUCUUAAGUUUGAUGUGAAAGCCCCCGGCUCAACCGGGGAGGGUCAUUGGAAACUGGGGAACUUGAGUGCAGAAGAGGAGAGUGGAAUUCCACGUGUAGCGGUGAAAUGCGUAGAGAUGUGGAGGAACACCAGUGGCGAAGGCGACUCUCUGGUCUGUAACUGACGCUGAGGAGCGAAAGCGUGGGGAGCGAACAGGAUUAGAUACCCUGGUAGUCCACGCCGUAAACGAUGAGUGCUAAGUGUUAGGGGGUUUCCGCCCCUUAGUGCUGCAGCUAACGCAUUAAGCACUCCGCCUGGGGAGUACGGUCGCAAGACUGAAACUCAAAGGAAUUGACGGGGGCCCGCACAAGCGGUGGAGCAUGUGGUUUAAUUCGAAGCAACGCGAAGAACCUUACCAGGUCUUGACAUCCUCUGACAAUCCUAGAGAUAGGACGUCCCCUUCGGGGGCAGAGUGACAGGUGGUGCAUGGUUGUCGUCAGCUCGUGUCGUGAGAUGUUGGGUUAAGUCCCGCAACGAGCGCAACCCUUGAUCUUAGUUGCCAGCAUUCAGUUGGGCACUCUAAGGUGACUGCCGGUGACAAACCGGAGGAAGGUGGGGAUGACGUCAAAUCAUCAUGCCCCUUAUGACCUGGGCUACACACGUGCUACAAUGGACAGAACAAAGGGCAGCGAAACCGCGAGGUUAAGCCAAUCCCACAAAUCUGUUCUCAGUUCGGAUCGCAGUCUGAACUCGACUGCGUGAAGCUGAAUC
rnacentral:rRNA from 1 species